GAUGAACGCUGGCGGCGUGCCUAAUACAUGCAAGUCGAGCGAACGGACGAGAAUCUUUCUUUUCUGAUGUUAGCGUCUGACGGGUGUGUAACACGUGUAUAACCUACCUAUAAUACUUGUAUAACUUCGGGAAACCUUAGCUAAUACCGGAUAAUAUUUUGAACCGCAUGUUUCAAAAGUGAAAUACGGUCUUGCUGUCUCUUAUAGAUGUAUCCUCGCUGCAUUAGCUAGUUGGUAAGGUAACGGCUUACCAAGGCAACGAUGCAUAGAGGAACUGAGAGGGGGAGCGGAAAAACGGGAAGUGAGACACGGACAAGAGGACUACGGGAGGCAGCAGAAGGGAAGAGGCCGAAAUGGGCGAAAGCAUGACGGAGCAACGCCGAGUGAGUGAAGAAGGUAUUAGGAUCGUAAAACUCUGUUAUGAGGGAAGAAAAGAUGUGUAAGUAAAUGUGAAGAUAUUGACGGUAACGAAAAAGAAAGCAACGGCUAACUACGUG
rnacentral:rRNA from 1 species